GAUGAACGCUGGCGGCGUGCCUAAUACAUGCAAGUCGAGCGAACAGACGAGGAGCUUGCUCCUCUGACGUUAGCGGCGGACGGGUGAGUAACACGUGGAUAACCUACCUAUAAGACUGGGAUAACUUCGGGAAACCGGAGCUAAUACCGGAUAAUAUAUUGAACCGCAUGGUUCAAUAGUGAAAGACGGUUUUGCUGUCACUUAUAGAUGGAUCCGCGCCGCAUUAGCUAGUUUGUAAGGUAACGGCUUACCAAGGCAACGAUGCGUAGCCGACCGGCGAGGAGGAUCGGCCACACUGGAACUGAGACCAGGUCCAGACUCGUACGGGAGGCAGCACUAGGGAACCUUCCGCAAGGGGCGAAAGCCUGACGGAGCAACGCCGCGUGAGUGAUGACGGUCUUCGGAUCGUAAAACUCUGUUAUUAGGGAAGAACAAAUGUGUAAGUAACUAUGCACGUCUUGACGGUACCUAAGCAGAAAGCCACGGCUAACUACGU
rnacentral:rRNA from 1 species